GACGUAGGGCGCGAGCGUUGUCCGGAUUUAUUGGGCGUAAAGAGCUCGUAGGCGGCUCGUUGCGUCGGCUGUGAAAACCCGCAGCUCAACUGUGGGCUUGCAGCCGAUACGGGCGGGCUGGGAUUCGGUAGGGGAGACUGGAAUUCCUGGUGUAGCGGUGAAAUGCGCAGAUAUCAGGAGGAACACCGGUGGCGAAGGCGGCAUCCUGGACCGACAUUGACGCUGAACGGCGAAAGCUAGGGGAGCAAACGGG
rnacentral:rRNA from 1 species